GUGCUCCGCUUUGGCAGCACAUAAGCUAAAAAAUAAGAACAAUGCAGAGGAGAGUAGCAAUGGCCCCCUGCGCCAGGAUAACAACACAAAUUCCUGAAGGGGUCCCUUUUUUU
rnacentral:snRNA from 1 species